rnacentral:rRNA from 1 species
AGCAGCCGCGGUAAUUCCAGCUCCAAUAGCGUAUAUUAAAGUUGUUGCAGUUAAAAAGCUCGUAGUUGAAUUUCGGGGUCAGUAGGUCGGUCGUGCCACUGGUAUGAACUGGUCUCACUGAUUCCUCCCUCUUGUAGAACCGUGAUGCCAUUAAUUUGGUGUUGCGGGGAAACAGGACUGUUACUUUGAAAAAAUUAGAGUGUUUAAAGCAAGCUAACGCUUGAAUACAUUAGCAUGGAAUAAUGAAAUAGGACGUCGAUCUUAUUUUGUUGGUUUCUAGGGUUGACGUAAUGAUUAAUAGGGAUAGUUGGGGGCAUUAGUAUUCAAUUGUCAGAGGUGAAAUUCUUGGAUUUAUUGAAGACUAACUACUGCGAAAGCAUUUGCCAAGGAUGUUUUCAUUAAUCAAGAACGAAAGUUAGGGGAUCGAAGACGAUCAGAUACCGUCGUAGUCUUAACCAUAAACUAUGCCGACUAGGGAUCGGAUGAUGUUAAUUUUUUAAUGACUCAUUCGGCGCCUUACG